GGUAAAAUAAGCUAAAUAAGCUAUUGGAUUCAUAAUCCAAAAAUGAUUUUAAAUCUUUUACUU
rnacentral:tRNA from 1 species